rnacentral:snRNA from 1 species
GGAUUUCCAUCCUCCCUCAACAAUCCAUGUGCGUCCCUCCCGAAGUUGUGCGCUCGGUCGAAGAGGACGACCACCCCUGAUAGAGGAGGUCCGUUCCUCCAUCAAGGGUGUACGAGUAGCUGCGCUCCCUUGCUAGAACCUCCAAACAAGCUCUCAUGGACAAAAGAUUUCUGUGGUGACCUCCAACAGUUUAGAAACUCUUAUCAAGACCCCUCCUGAGAAGUGGCUCUCGAAU